ACCCAGCAGAAACAAGGAAAUAUGUUGUUCCAGUUACCACUGGCAUCCAUCUACAGCUGGGAGAGAAGACAGCCUGGGGACAAAGCCCAUGCAGGACAGCCUGCCCAGGACCUCCUUUUCCUCCAGAUUUCCUUCUCCAGUUGGUGCUGGAGAACAGCCUGACUCUGUGCGUAGGAUAAGAGCAAGCCUACCUCUGGUCACAGAACAUAAAAUCUCAGAGAGGCAUACACAUGUCCACCAAAACGCACAUGGAGUCUUCAUAACAGCUCUGCUCAUCACAGCCCAAAUGGAAACCAAUACACAUACCCAUCAAGAGGAAAACGGACAGAUCGAUUGUGGAAUACUAUACAGCAAAGAAAAAGAGUAACCGCCCACUACAUGCAAAGAAGGAAAGACUCUCACGGUCAUAAUGUCAAGAAAAAGAAACCGGGGGCACCUGGGGGGCUCAGUUGGUUAAGCAUCUGCCUUC